AUCACAGAACAGGCAGAGGCAGUUCAGGGGUAUUCUGGUUGCCUUACCCAGCUCUGAAGUCUGUCAGCCUCUUCAGAUGUCACUUGCCAUGUGGUAAGGAAGUGUAGUCAGCAGCUGGUGCAGUGGGAAGAAGAGAAAGGAAGUUCCCCAAGACAAAAACAUCUCGGCAGACUUCAUCAUGAAUUCAUGGCAUCACACAGUCCCCUGAUGCUAUAACAUCAUGGAUUUCUUUUGUCCAGUGAGAGGCCCAAAAGCUGCAGCAUAGACAAUAUCAUAGUGUAGAAGGUUCACUAGACCGUGAUCAUGGGCUACAUUCUCCGUACCAGCUUCAUAGCUCCAGUGAGAAAAUAAAUUCCUGCAUCCAGGAGAUGUGGAGUAAGAGAUACAGCUGCCCUUGACCAUAUUUCUUACUUCCGAGAAGAUCGUAGCAGUAAUUCAGAAUCUCAUCCAGGAUACCUCAUCACAGGCUGGAGUGCAGUGUCAUGAGCUUGGCUCACUACAGCCUCCAUCUUCUGUGCUUAAGGAUCCUUCCCUCUCAACCUCCAAGGUAGCUGAGACUACAGGCAACAUUCGAAACCCAGGUGCCACUCCUUCAGGAAGGUACCAUCAAGCUCCAAGGACUCAUCCUCUUUCUCCUUCCCCACUACCUAGUCAUUAGAGCGUCAGCAUCCACUUCCUGAAAGGAAGAUGCCUGUUUUUCACAUAUCCCAGAAAGCCUCAUUUUAGGACAGCAUUUAGCAGAGUGUAUUCAGGAUCCCACUAACCUUUUCGGAAGACAUGACUUCCAGAUGAUAUAAGGCAAGAAUAAGAAAUUUCAGUGACAGGGAACAGAAAUCAUAUUUCUGCAUUCAGGAUCAUGUUUUCUUGGCUCCAUCAGGAACUGUGCAGGACUGUGCACUCUGUUGAUACUCACAUGGUGGAAUUAUAUUGCCCUUGGCCAACCCUAAAGCCAUCAAGAUAGCAGGUUUGGAAUAAUUCACUGUCGAAGUCUUCUUGAGCUGAGCAGUCAUGUGAGCUUGGAAGAUGAUCCCUCUCCAGCUGAUCCUUCAGCUCAGGCCAUCAUCUACAUCUGGAUUCCUGACCCGGAGAAACUAUGAGUAAUGUGUGCUGCUUUUGAGCCACUAAGCUACAUGAAUUAAUGAAGGAUCAUUAUUAAGUUUUUAAUGGGUCAAGAGAAAGUUACCACUGAGGUCUUCUCUACCUGGGCAACAAUUGACUCCUAACAACCACUAUAAGCUUGGAAGAUGAUCCCUCCCCAGCUGAUCCUUCAGUUCACAUGAAGCAUUUGGAAGUAAACACACGAUGGACUGAACACUUUGCUGCUUAGAAACUUCUUCUUCCAGAUUCCCUAGUUCAUCAUUAAGUAGUUAGGCCUCUCACAAAGCCCUUGGUCACGGAUACAGGUCAGCCGUUCUUUACCCAAUCAAAACAGGGAUGGCCUUUACUGCAGUUACUAAUAUCUUGUUUUUUAGUUUCAUCUGACAUUUUGUCAGAAUGGCCCUUAUGUCAGUAUUUCUAUCAGCAGUGAGGACUAAACUCUGAUUUUUUUAUCUUGCCCAAAUUCCUAUCUAAAAGGUCUGGGGAGU
rnacentral:lncRNA from 1 species